GUAGGUGGCAAGCGUUGUCCGGAAUUAUGGGGCGUAAAGCGCGCGCAGGCGGUUCUUUAAGUCUGAUGUGAAAGCCCACGGCUCAACCGUGGAGGGUCAUUGGAAACUGGAGAACUUGAGUACAGAAGAGGAAAGCGGAAUUCCACGUGUAGCGGUGAAAUGCGUAGAGAUGUGGAGGAACACCAGUGGCGAAGGCGGCUUUCUGGUCUGUAACUGACGCUGAGGCGCGAAAGCGUGGGGAGCAAACAGGGAUUAGAUACCCUGGUAGUCCACGCCGUAAACGAUGAGUGCUAAGUGUUAGGGGGUUUCCGCCCCCUUAGUGCUGCAGCUAACGCAUUAAGCACUCCGCCUGGGGAUACGGCCGCAAGGCUG
rnacentral:rRNA from 1 species